ACGGCGGGGCCCAGCGCGGAGGGCCGGGACUGGUCUCGGCUACCCGUCCUGCGUCGUUCCCUCCGAGGACGGCGGCAGCGACCUGUCUGGGCAGCGGAAGCAGACGCGGUUGGGCGCCCGGACUCGGGACAGGGCGCGUCAGCCCGCCUUGUGCCCGGCCCGCGGGCGCGGCCAUCUUGCCGUGCGGCCGGGCUCGGCGCUCCUUGCUGCGCGACGCCGGGCGCGCUGAGGACAGAGGGAUCGGCUCCCGCGUCCUGUAGCCGUGUCGCCGCGAGCCCUACUCUAGGGCGGCCGCGAACCGCUCCCAACGGCCGGGCCGCGCGGAGGAGCCGCCGUGUUCUGCCACGGGUAACCGCCGCCCGGUCAGCCCCCGCGUGGGGCCUCGCGGCCGCUCCAGCGGCACAGCCGGCGCCCGGCGGGAGGGGCAGGGUCCGCGCCGCCGGCUCUGGGGCGGGCGCCUCGGGCCACCGCGGCAACGCCCGGCCGCCGGCCCCGGCUUACGACCCGCCCCGCCUUCUCACCCCCGACCCGCGGCCCCAUCUCUGCGUUGGGUCGGGUUGGGGCCGACGACGUCCAGGAACAGGUCAUUCUGGGGACGCUCUUCCCUGCCUCAGUUGUCCUCUUGCGUUUCACUUGCUGUGACGUUUUGGUUCUUUCGAUGGCGGGGAGCCUGCCUCGAGCUCUGGCAUCAGCGGUGAGGCUGAGCGAAUGCAGCUUUUUCCUCCUGGAUGGCCUCGCCCCACAGGCGCUCUUUGUAGAGGGGUCCCGGCAGUCCGGGGAAAGGCGGCUCUGCGCCCGCAGGCUCCCCGUAAAGGACUGAAAACACCUGAUCCGGUGGUUAAAAGCUGUUCACGGGGAUAACUGGACCCCCAGUUCUUCUCCAAGCACACUCGAGGGAGGCCAUCUGUCCCCACAGCGCUUGUCGAGCGAAGGAGGCUGUAGAGAGACAUGGAGCCCACCCGUCUGGGGCCUGACAAGGGCUUGGCCCAGAGCCCCCAAGUUCUCAUUCACAGCAAUGCCUCAGAAGCCCUCCCAGAGCUCCUCUGCCCCUCCAACAGUUGUCACCCCAAAGCCAGCUGUGGAAGCUGUGCAGAGUGAGCACAGUGACACCAGCCCCAUGUCCCUCAACGGGGUCAUCCUGUCAGCGUUGGGGGCCUGAGGUCUCCUCGACCUGCUGCUUCUCCUGGCAGAACAAAAGCGGGGGUGCUGCCUGCGGGAGCAGGUGGAGAAGAAGAACGGCGAGCUGUUCUACCAUGUGGCAGAGGGGCGGUGCCCUGACAGCCAAGUGCACAUGCUGCAGAAGCUGGACGAGCUGAGGAGAGUGGGCUUCCCCUUCUUGAGCAGGCUGCUGUCCCCCAGCUGAGGAAUGGAAUCUUAACACCAGUCCAUCGGGAAUCGCCUGAUGAGCACUGGGUAGUCAUCUGCCUGAGAGACCCCUGCCAUCCCCUAAAGGAAGUUUGGUGGCAGCAGUGGGGUCCAAAGGAGGCAUCUGAUGGUUUCAGGGAUGAGAAACAAGGCAUUGGUACCCACAAAACCUUUGAGUCCUCCAUCUUGUUCGCUGUUUCCGAGGACCAUGGGAAGGAGAUUCCAACCUGAUCCCCAUUGUGGAGGUUUGGAGACUGGGGAAGACCUGAGGCACAAUGACUUUCCCAGGACACAGAACUGAGCUCCACCCAGGACAUCCUCCAGGAGCUGGUGAAGGGGUUCAAAUACUCUUAUCUCCCUGGACAAGGAGCAGGUGCAUCAGGCCCCCAACAACAGCCAGCACUGGUCUGGGUCAGUGUGAAAAGGACUCAGCCCUGUCCCCUGAUCAGGCCUACGUGAUGCUGACCCCAAGGCAGGCACAAUGGAGAACAUGGCAGAGUCCCUGGGCCAGCCUCCCAGGGAGAAGCAUCUGCACUGCUCCCUUCCUGUGCACCCACCAGGCCUUCGUCACCGCCCAGCAGGUGUUGGGCCAGCUGUCCCACAGAAGAGCCUGGGAGACUCUGUGGGCUGUGGCUGGGGAGGGACUGACCGGCAGAACCCUGGAUCUCACACAGGUCACCUUUACUGACUCAGACGUGGAUUGCCAUCACCCUCUUCUGUUGGUCCACUUGGAGCUUCCAGAGGCCACUGAGGCAGAGCCGCAGGUGCCAGCUCCAGGUCUCCAGGCAACUGCAGAACCAGAACAGUGGCCAGUUGUGGAGACUGUAGAGGUGGACACUAACAGGACCUGCUGCACAGAGUGGCGUGCUGUCAAUGAGGAGCUCUUCAGGAAGGUGGUGCCCUCUCAGUGCCUGGGCUCCUCCUGGUGCAAGAGGAUCAAGCCCGGGAAUGAGCACCUGGCACCCACCAUCCAGGCCACUGUUGACCAUUUCCAGAGGGUGGUCAACUUCAUCACAACCACCUGCCUCAGCGACCCGAGCAGAACAGCCCGGGACAGGGCCAGGUUGGUGGAGCACUGGAUCCAGGUGGCACAGGAGUGCAACAUCCUAAUGAACUUCUCACUACACACUGUCAUCUCUGCUCUGCAGAAAACCUCCAUAAGUCGCCUGGAGAACACAUGGGGCGAAGUUUCCCAGUGGGAGAGCUCCGAAAACUUCAAGAAACUGUGUAGAAAAGACAAGUCCUUGAGCAGAGAACUGAUGACCAAGGCAGAGUGGAGGCUGGAGUCUGGAAAGAGGAGGGAGCGGCCCUCCACAUUUGCCAUGCCAGAGAUACACUCCCAGAGAGUCCAGGAGCAGCAGCAGCAGCAACAGUGGGUGAGGGUGCCUGGGGGGAGGAGCUCCAGGGUCAGAGGAGAGGGGCUCUGCCCUCCCAGCUGGAGGCCUCAGACCCAGAGAGCAGGGCCCUGGCUCCUGCAGCCCUGCCUCCUGAUGCCACAGUGCCUGAGUCCCAGUAGAAGGGACCAGAAGGAGGGCCUGGAAGAGCUGGUGCAGGAUGGAUUUGUGGUGGGGAGGGACAGGGACCACAUUCCCUGUCACUUGCCGGAAUCCAGCCCUGGGAUCUAAUGAGGAGGAGUGCGGUGUUCUUGGGAUGUGAAGGGAGGGGAGUUGAGGGGAGGCUGCUAAGUGUCCUUGGCAGCUCAACGUGGGAGCUCUGGGGUGGGCCAGGAGGCUGAGGGGAGGACUUUUCAGGGGAGGGUCUGUGGGAGACUUGAGAGCAAGGGCUCAUUCCCACCCCGAUGUCACAGGGUGUCAUCGCCUGUCUUGGCACUUUUCUCCAUGACCUGGUAAUGCUGCAUCUGGCAAUGGGUGCUUAUCUUGAGGUGGGUGAGCCUGGGGACCAGGCAAGGGGACCAGGAUCCUGAGGCUUGGGGCUCAGGAGCCCCAGAACUGAGCCCUGAGCUCCCAACACCAGGCACAUCUCCUCUCAGGAGAGCCUCCAGCCACCCCGGGAGCCAGGGCGUCAGGCCCAUCUCAGGGAUGGGUGAACAGAGGCUCCGUGUGAGACCCCAUUCCAUCCCCAAGGCUGAUGAGGCAGCAAAGUCGCCUGAGCACACAGCUGCGAGAGGUUUAUGAGCUGGACUCAGCCUCUCCCUCCCACGGUGCCCAUGCAGGAACAGAGAAGUCGGGCCCCUCCAGUUGGGCAGCACAUGAGUGGCUGAGCUGUCCCUUUUGCCUGAGGCCGCAGCCUCCAAGUCUGUCGUCCGAGAGAGUUGGGCUACGAGGUCCCUCAGCCCCAUGUCCUCCUCCUCUGGAGCCCAGAGCCCGGCCCAGGUCCAAGUCCUGCUUUCUCUGCAUGCCCAGCCCCUCUGGGGACCAGGCGGUAGUGCAACGUGAGAAGGGGUGGGCAUAGGGGCUGGUCAUGCAGGGACUCUCUCUGAUGGACUUGGCUGUCUGCCUUCCAGGGGAAGGAGAUCAACCUUGAGAAAAGGACUGAGCCGCCAGGCCCCAACAGUGAGCCCUGUACCAUUGGCAGAUCACGGCCCCAUCCUCAGCAGUGGGGACUCGGCUCGGGUGCUUGGCAUGCACUGGGCCAGCUCCUGAUGGGAAGGGG